GGAUUAGAUACCCUGGUAGUCCACGCCGUAAACGAUGUCUACUUGCUGUGUGUGCUUUUAAAGCGUGCGUAGCGAAGCUAACGCGAUAAGUAGACCGCCUGGGGAGUACGGCCGCAAGGCUAAAACUCAAAUGAAUUGACGGGGGCCCGCACAAGCGGUGGAGCAUGUGGUUUAAUUCGAUGCAACGCGAAGAACCUUACCAUCCCUUGACAUCCACAGGAGAUUGUAGAGAUACGAUUGUGCCUUCGGGAACUGUGAGACAGGUGCUGCAUGGCUGUCGUCAGCUCGUGCCG
rnacentral:rRNA from 1 species